rnacentral:rRNA from 1 species
GAUCAUGGCUCAGAACGAACGCUGGCGGCAGGCUUAACACAUGCAAGUCGAACGCACCGCAAGGUGAGUGGCAGACGGGUGAGUAACGCGUGGGAACCUUCCCUUUGGUACGGAAUAACUUCGGGAAACCGAAGCUAAUACCGUAUAUCUCCUCCGGGAGAAAGAUUUAUCGCCAAAGGAUGGGCCCGCGUUGGAUUAGCUAGUUGGUAGGGUAAUGGCCUACCAAGGCAACGAUCCAUAGCUGGUCUGAGAGGAUGAUCAGCCACACUGGGACUGAGACACGGCCCAGACUCCUACGGGAGGCAGCAGUGGGGAAUAUUGGACAAUGGGCGAAAGCCUGAUCCAGCCAUGCCGCGUGAGUGAAGAAGGCCUUAGGGUUGUAAAGCUCUUUUAGCGGGGACGAUAAUGACGGUACCCGCAGAAUAAGCCCCGGCUAACUUCGUGCCAGCCGCCGC